UGGAACCUACACUCACACACACACACAUCCAGGAACAUGCAUAUAAACGCACGUCCACACACAAAGUAUUUGUAAAUAUAAGUGCCCACGUCCAAGUAUUUUUCUCUGGCCACCAACAUUGACAAUCGAAUGAUUGCUCUGUAUUAAGUAUAAAAUGGAGGAAAGGGUGGAUCAGAACGGUAUCACUCACCCAAGUCGAUUUCGCAGCGCUCGCCCUUCCAGCCUGGCCGACACACGCACUGGCCCGAUCCGUCCAUGCCCUCAUCGCAAAUUCCCUGUUUACCACACUCGCACGCUAGUGCACACACACACACACACACACACACACAAGAGUAAAUUAACACACAAUCAACUGUACUCGUGAAAUUCUGUAUUGUGCUUUAUUUAUUUGAAAGAAAAUCACAAUCAAAUUGACCUACAAUAUUUUGUUUGUAUAUGUUGUAAAAUAAAAAUUGGGAGGGACAAAAUUUAUUUAAAUGGCAACACUACUUAAAAUUGAACUCUUACUCAAAUUAUUUUUCUAUCACAAAUAUAUGAAAUAAAGAGGGUUUAAAAUAUAUAUAUUUUUUAUGUUUAGAGCAGGGCGGCCCUGUAAAAAAUCAAUCAAAUAUGAAAGAAAAAUUAAAUUUGGACAAAAGUUGAGACCCUCCAAAUAUUGCCAACUGCUGCUGUGGACACGCGCGGCGUGUGACAUGAACAUCAAACCUGUGCAGUUGGCGCCGUAACGUCCCGGCGUGCACAUCUCGCACGCGUCUCCUUGGAAGCCGGUGGGACAAUUGCACUUUCCUGUCCCACGUAGGCCGUCGCUACACUCGCCGUGGCCGCCGCACGGAGACUCCACGCCACCUGGACACACUACAAAGACAGACAGACGGAAAGUGGCAGAGAAAGAGAGAACGCGAGAGAGACAGACAGAGAGAUGGUGAGAAAGAAUGGUUUCAUUAAAAAAAAAAAAAAAGAGACAA